UGUGUAGUUAAACCGUUAAACAGUUUUGCACCAGUGCUGUGUUCAGGAUUCUUUUGGGCGGGGCUAAAACGGUGGCUCGAUGACGCACUGGACCCACCGAGGCAGGCCCCUCCCGUAACAAUAUGACUAGAGCACAUUCGGUUCAGUUUGCCAUUCAAUCACGAGUUACAGUCAGACUCAGUACUAGUUUCAACAGCCUACAGUUAGCAAAGUCAUCGACUACCAUCGUUUAAAUACGUUGACCAGAGCAUAACCUGUCAUCUUCACCCAAGAGACCUACUGUUGGACAAUUCUUUUUGCUUUAAAGAUGCUGUUUGCCAUUGUUCAAUUUAUCAACGAGGAUGAUCUGCCAUUUGCAGUGGUUCCGCAAGUGUGGCUCAGCAAUGACAUGUGCUAUUGGCCCCCAUUUGACCUCCGCAAAAAGACAAGGGAAACAAUUUAGCCAUCCGCUGUACGUCUCCACACAGCACCUGGGAGAAACAUCAUUUUAAGUUUAUGAAGGGAGCAGAAUCUUGGCAAGAGGCAAUGAGAUAUUUGGUGCGCUUCCAAACAGGUUCCAGCGUUGAAACGACAG